AUAGAUGAGAACAGCAACACCAUCUGUUCACUCUGUGUUCUCUGUGCCCAGUGUUGUGUGAAACUUUCUAUCCAAUAUCUUGCAAAAUCCUUACAGCAACCCUAUAAGGCUCUAGGAUGCAGCAGUGAACAAAACAGACGAGUCUACAGAGUUGACAUGACAUGCAGGGGCCAUGGAGAAGGCGAGAACUGUGGAAACGUCGUUGUUGAGUAUGUCAAAUGGUGAUGUGUGCUGUAAAGAAGGAGUGAAGCUGGACUCAGAGCGGACAGGAAGACAGGGGUAGGGGUAGGUCUGGGCUUUUGUACAGGGUGAUCUGAGAAGGCCACUUUGACAAGGUGAUAUGUAAAGUGAGGACACAAGCCCUGUGACUAUGUGGGCACAACUCUCCUAGGAAAAGGGAGCAGCAAAGUGCAUGGACCCCAAAGCAGGAAUGAAUAUGCUCAGUGCGUCCAAGGAAGAGCCGGGACCAGCAGAGCUCAAGUGGAGUGAGCGUGGGGAAAGAGCGGACCCGGUCAGAGGGGUGCUGGGGACCAGACAACGUCACGCGUCAUGGCCAUCGCUAAGGAUUUGGGGUUUUACUUUGCAUGAGAUGAAAAGCCACAGGAGGGUUUUGAAUAGAGGAGUAGAAUGAUUUGACUUGAGUUUUUAAAAGGUUUACUCCAGCUGCUUGGUGGAGAGUGGAUGGUGCAGGUGAGGGCAGAGGCAGGGAAACCAGUUAGGAGGCUGCUGCAGCGACGUGGGAGAGGACUGUGGGUGGUUUGGGCCAUAUUAGAAGCAGUGGUAAGAAACACUGAGCUCUGGAUGUGUUCUGAAGGUAUGCCAACGUGAUUUACUAACCGAUCCAUGAAGGGCAUGAGAGGAAGAGAGCAAUCAAAAAUGACCCCCAGGGUUUUUGUCUGAGCAUCUGGAGUUGCCCUUAUUUGAGAGUUAGAAGACCAAGAGGGCCGGGUGUAGUGGCUCACGUCUGUAAUCCCGGCACUUUGGGAGGCCGAGGCAGGUGGAUCACUUGAGGUCAAGAGUUGGAGACCAGCCUGGCCAACGUGGUGAAACCCCGUCUCUACUAAAAAUACAAAAAAUAGCCAGGCAUGGUGGUGGGCAUCUGUAGUCCCAGCUACUCAGGAGGCUGAGGCAGGAGAAUCGCUUGAACCCGGCAGGCGGAGGUUGCAGCAAGCCAAGAUCGUGCCACUGCACUCCAGCCUGGGUGGCAGAGCAAGACUCCGUCUCAAAACAAAACAAAACAAAAAACAAGAGGAACACAUUAGGUGGAUAGGAGAUGUCGUUUGGGUGCAGCCAGGCUGGGUGGCUCACACUUGUAAUCCCAGCACUUUGGGAGGCCCAGGUGGGAGGACUGUUUGAGCCCAGGAGUUGGAGACCAGCCCGGCUAACAUAGCGAGACUCCAUCCCUACAGAAAAAUUAAAAAAUUAGCCGGGCAUGGCGGCAUGUGCCUGUAGUCCCAGCGACUUGGGUGGGGGGCUGAGUUCAGGAGGUUUUGGCUGCAGUGAGCUGUGAUCACACCGCUGCACUCCAGCCUGGGCAUUAGAGCAAGACCUUGUCUUAAAAAAAAAACAACGAAAGUUUGAAUUGCCCAUUAGACAUCCAAGUAGAAAGGUCGAGUUUUAAGUUGGGUAUAGAAGUCUGGAGUUUGGGGUAAAGGUCUGGGCUGGAGAUCUAGCUUUAGGAGUCCUUCAGUCCUAGAGAGAGGGUGAAGUCAGGAAGGAAUGACAGAGGAAGCACCCAGGCCUGGACCUUGGGACCCUCCAAUGUUCACGGGCAGAGAGAAGUGGGGAGCGGCCAGUGAGGCAGGGGAGACCCCCUGGAGUGAGUGUCAAGAGGAUGGAGGGAGCUACUCUGUCAAAGACUGCUGCUCAUGGGCCAAGUAAAAUGAGGUCUGAGAACAGCCCAUUGCAUUUGGCAGCUGGAGGUCCUUCAAGGUCUUGACGUGAGCUGUUUCGGUGGAGCCAGGUAAUAAAAGUUAGUGGGUAGGAGUUAAAGCAAGAAAUUUCUUUGACUUUUGUCACCUGGCUCCACUGAAACAGCUCACGUCAAACCUCUGAGGAAGGGAAUUGGAGACAGUAACUGGAACACUCUUAAAGUUCUUUAGGCUGGGGACAGUGGCUCACGUCUGUGAUCCCAACACUUUGGGAGGCCGAGGUGGGUGGAUUGCUUGAGUCCAGGAGUUUGAGACCACUCUGGACAAUAUGGCAAAACUCAAUUUCUACUGAAAAUACAAAAAAUUAGCCAGGUGUGGUGGCCUGUGCCUGUGGUCCCACCUACUGGGGAGUCGGAGGUGGACGGAUCACCUGAGCCUGGGAGGUGGAGGCUGCAGUGAGUCCUGAUUGCAUCACUAUACUCCAGCCUAGGAAACCAGAGUGAGGCCCUGUCUCAGGGGAAAAAAAAAAAAAAGAAUUAUCCAGCCUGGGCAACAAAGUGAGACCCUGUCUCUACAAAAAAAUAAAAAUAAAAAAAUUAACUAGGUGUGGUGAUGGACACCUGUGGAUCCAGCUACUUGGGAAGCUGAGGUGGAAGGAUCACUUGAGCCUGUGAGGUCGAGGCUGCGAUGAGCUGUGAUUAUGCCACUGCACUAUAGCCUGAGUGAGAGUGAAAUCUUGUCUCAAAAAAAAAAAAAACAGUUUUGUCUACAGGUGAGCAGAGCAGGGAGCAAUGGCUAAAGCAGGAUGAGAGAUAAAGGAAGAGAACUAGGUUGUUGUUCUGCUUCCCAUCUUGUUAUUCCAGGUCAGACAUGGUGAGGUUCACCAAGGCAAAUCCAAUAGUGGGAGUUGGAAUGUGGGCAAGGAAGUUCUGUCAUGAUCAACUGUGAAUCUACAUUGGCUAAGGAGUGAAAUGAGGCAAUUAAGGGGCUAAUGAUUCAUGAAGAGGUGGUUGGGUCAUAGAUUCUAAGUCUCAGCUGGUAGAAGGAUUAUUGAAGUCUGGAUAAGAGAAAGAGUGAGCUGGAAACCCAGGGCACAGUGGUUGGAGAGUGGGACAUAGAAACUGAGAUGACUAGGCUGGGCGUGGUGGCUCACGCCUGUAGUCCCAGCUACUCAGGAGGCUGAGGCAGGAGAAUGGUGUGAACCCGGGAGGCGGAGCUUGCAGUGGGCCAAGAUCGCGCCACUGCACUCCAGCCUGGACGACAGAGCAAGACUCCUUCUCAAAAAAAAAAAAAAAAAUAAGAAACCAAGAUGACAGACAACUGCAGCCAGAGAAAAUGACAGUUCUAGGGUGCGACCGUGGGAGUGAGAGGUUAGGGUGGAGGUGACCAGGUGGACAGUAGGACACAGAACUGAGAGGUACACAAGGAUCUUCUGUGUGGAUAUUGAAAUCAGUGUGAGAUAAAUACAGUGCUGGAGAGACUGAGAAUGAACUCAAAGUCCUCAAGGAUCGAGAUGAGAAGUGACCUGGGGUCAGCAGGUACCUUCAAGAAGGAGGCGGUCGGCUGGGCACGGUGGCUCACGCCUGUAAUCCCAGCACUUUGGAGGCCGAGGCGGGCAGAUCACCUGAAGUAGGAGUUCGAGACCAGCCUGGCCAACAUGGUGAAACCCCAUCUCUACUAAAAAUACAAAAAUUAGCCAGGCGUGGUGGCGGGUGCCUGUAAUCCCAGCUACUCAGGAGGCUGAGGCAGGAGAAUUGCUUGAACCCAGGAGGCAGAGGUUGCAGUGAGCCAAGAUUGCGCCACUGCACUCCAGCCUGGGGGACAAGAGUGAGACUUGGUCUCAGAAAAAAAAAAAAGAAGGACAGGGUCAGUGGUAUAGUUUGAUGAGAUUCGAAGGGAGAUUCAACCCAGUGGUUGUUUAGGAAGGAAAGAGCAAAUGGUUUGGAAUCAGCAAUCAGUACUGAAGAGGUUAUUGACCCCACCCUAGGGCUGAGGUAUGAGGGCAGGAGGGAGAACAGCUACCACUUGAACACCCGAGCUCAGGUGAUCCACCCACCUUAGCCUCCCAGGUAGCUGGGACCACAGUCUGGAAAGGGGAUGUUAACAGCUUCACUAGGACACUUUUUGAGUCUUGAACUCAGUUUCUCAGAUUACAUAAUUUCACUUCCUCCUAACUUGUUUGAGAGGCACCACUUUCUGAACCUGCAUCUGAUGCUGACAUUGGGAAUUAUAACCCAAACCACAAUUACCCAUUCAAAUAACAUUUGGACAGUUUUCCUCCCAUUUACCCAGGAGAUAUAUAUUUAUAAUCUUCAAGUUGCAUUUUAAAAUGAUUUUAAAAAGCCUUAUUUACAAAAACAUGCAACUCUUUUCAUUGUGAGGUCAUAUCCCUAGGGAGACUUACUAAAUCUGUGUUCAAAUUUCUUUGCCGAUUUUUUCACCACUGUCAUCAGGUGACCUUUAUAAACAUACAAACUAGCAUUGACUGAGGUCAUUUCAGGUGACGGCAUCUCAGACAGCUGUCAUUACUUAAAAAGAUGAAUUAAAAAAAGUGGAGGGAGGAAAGGUGAAAGAGAAAUGCAGAAAGAGAAAAAAGAAAAUAAAAGAGAGGAAAAGAGAAAGAGGAAAGAAUGAGAAAGAGAAGGAAGGAAAGAAGGAAGAGGAAAGAGGGGAAGGAAGGAAAAAAGGAAGGAAGAGGAAAUAGGGGAAGGAAGGAAGGGAGGAAAGAAGAAAGGAAGGGAAGAAUAGAGGGAGGAAGUGAGGGAGGGAGAGAGGAGACUAAGGUUUCUAAUAUAAGACUACAUGGAAUUAGUCUUUUCUGAGGGAUAAUUUUCAGAAAAAUAAACAAACAAAAAACCCUUGGCUCAUAUUCAGUCAUCUCUGGUGCCAUCUUUUCAGUCAUAGUGUCUAGAACAGUGCCAAUGAAUGUUUCUGGAAUGAAUUAACUGAUUGCUAUUGUCUUCUAGCCCUAACAAAGAUUUCUCCAUGACCCUUAGAUCCUUGGACCCCUGGUCCUAAGAGAAACAUCACCCACCUCAUGCCCCCAUGCCUGGCUUUUGCUUGGCUACUAAGCUCCAUCUUGCUUCUUUUUUCUUCCAACAUGUGUAUUCAGAAGCUCUUGGCUUUUAUUAAAUGCAACUCUGCUGCUAAUACAUUACAGAAUUUAAUCUUGUGCCAGCCACACCCUGGCACUGAACCCAGCUGGGCAGGGGGCCAGAUUUGAAGUGAGGUUCUCCCUGCCAGUGAUUAAGUUUGGUUAAGAGGUGAGAUAGUCACUGCCAGAUGCAAAAACUCCAGGAGGCAUUUCCAGCUGCAUGUAGAACUCUGUAGUUUCUGCCUCUGGUGAUGGAGUUUGGGGGUCAUCUGAAUGGGGAGUGAUGAGAGGUAGGAGCUGAAAUAGAAAGAUGCGGCCGGGCACGGUGGCUCACGCCUGUAAUCCCAGCACUUUGGGAGGCCGAGAUAGGCGGAUCACGAGGUCAGGAGGUUGAGACCAGCCUGACCAACAUGGUGAAACCCCGUCUCUACUACAAAUACAAAAAUUAGCCAGCCAUGGUGGUGUGCGCAUGUAAUCCCAGCUACUCGGGAGGCUGAGGCAGGAGAAUCACUUGAACCUAGGAGGCGGAGGUUGCGGUGAGCCAAGAUCAUGCCACUGCACUCCAGCCUGGGUGACAGAGUGAGACUCCAUCUCGGAAAAAAAAGAAAAGAAAAAGAAAGAAAGAAAAAAGAAAGAUGCAAAUAAAACAGAGGUGAGGACAGCAGCGGGUGAGGAGUGGGUCUUCGAUGUUGGUAGAAACUUCUCUAAUCUUUUACACCUCUAACUCUAUCUCCCUCCUGAAAGCCCUCAUCUGGCCUGGAAUUGGCUUUGAGGGUUGUACCACUAUGCAUUUUGAUAACACAUGAUGAGUUUUUAGAUCAAAGCACACUAGGGUAGUUGUUGUUGAAUACAUGCAUGGCUAAUUCUAUAGCCUCCUGUGGGGUCAGGUUACCCCCAAGCCCUGUGCCUCAGCCAUGGGACACAUGGCGAUGGUUGUGGAUGGAUCCUCAUGCACCAUUCCCUUAGCUCUUGUGUUCGUAAUAGAAUCCUUAUUUGAGAACCUGGGUCCCUAUCAGUACAAGUAAAAGGAAAAGAAGAAACACCCAGAGUGAGAUUCUUCAGGUAGCUUUGAGGAUGCCCAAGGUGAAACAUUAAUCAAUCAAUAACAACAUGAUGGAGAGGCAGGUGUUCCCUCUUCUGUACCCCCUUUCCUGGAGUGUGGGAACUACUGAGGCUCUCACAAUGCAACUCAAGGCUAGGGAGGAGAUAGAUACCAUUUUGUUUUUGUUUUGGUUUUGAGACGGAGUCUCACUCUGUCGCUCAGGCUAGAGAGCAGUGGCAUGAUCUCGGCUCACGGCAACCUCCGCCUCCCAGGUUCAGGCAAUUCUCCUGCCUCAGCCUCCCAAGUAGCUGGGACUACUGGUGCCUGGCCACCAUGCCCGGCUAAUUUUUGUAG
rnacentral:lncRNA from 1 species